rnacentral:rRNA from 1 species
UACGGAGGGUGCGAGCGUUAAUCGGAAUUACUGGGCGUAAAGGGUGCGUAGGUGGUUUGGUAAGUUAGCUGUGAAAUUCCUGGGCUUAACCUAGGGUGGUCAGCUAAGACUGUCGAACUUGAGUAUGGGAGAGGGUAGUGGAAUUUCCGGUGUAGCGGUGAAAUGCGUAGAGAUCGGAAGGAACACCAGUGGCGAAGGCGGCUACCUGGCCUAAUACUGACACUGAGGCACGAAAGCGUGGGGAGCAAACAGG